CCAUUAAAAUGCCAUGAACUCUUCUUCACUCAAUCACUAGGCAGCGCACAAGAUUUCUCCACCUUCUUCUCUGACGAUCCGACACCGUCCCCUUCAUCUCAAUCGUCAAUCCACAGCCCAAGCCGCCUGAGAUCUCACUUUUUAUCCGGUGAAGCGCCACUCUCCUCCGUCUUUGAUCUUGUUUCCUUCUCUGACACCACAACCAUUGUCUCACUGGUCUUUAUCGAUUCAAAUCACUUUCUCAAAAUCUAUAAUGCGAACGAAGAAUAUUGUGGUAUGACGAAAUUGAUGAAGAACAGAGAGAGAUCAAAACCUACCAUCUAG